GAGAGAGAGAGAGAGAGAGGAUCUAUGAUGAUCAAUUUCAUGGUGGGCUUCUCAAAGGGUUUCUUACAGAGUUUAUUGGCAUUCUGUCCACCUCCUCCUAUCAUUUUUUUUACCAUGAAAGAAAAAAAAACAAGAUAAAUAAUGUGGAAUUUAUGAAUAUGUUGCAAAUAUUUUUUCUUUUGUUAGUUAGAGGAGGUGGGCAUACUGCCAACUGAGCUCUGUUGGCUUCACUUUGCAAAACCCUCAUGAAUACAUAAAUUCUUGCUUCUGUCAAAAAAACCCCCCUUUUUUCACUUGUUUGUUUUUUCUUCCUGCAAAUUAUACUGCAACUGUUUGCAGGUCAAGUGGCAAUAUUGGCUAUCUGGAUUUCCUAAUUUCCUACAGCUGAACCCUAGUGUAUGGAACUUAUUACUUAAUUUUUAUUCCAUUUAGUUAAUUUACAAAGUUAUUUCAAGAAAUGCUGACUGAUUCAUUUUUUUUUUCUGUGUUAAAUAUAUUUAGGUUUCUGUUGUUGGAAUCUCUGGGUAUUAAAGGGAUCAAAAAUUUGAGGCCUUUUUGACCCCCUUGGUUUUUAGCCAAGAAAAGCAAACUUCGCGGAGAGAAUUUCCCUAAAAUAAAAGAAUAAUACGAUUCAUUUCCUCUUAUGGGUUUUUAGUGUUUGUUUGUAACAGAAAUAUUCUACACAACCGAAUUCUAUAAAAGAUCAAGAAAUAUAACUU